GACGAACGCUGGCGGCAUGCCUAACACAUGCAAGUCGAACGGAGAAUUCCUUCGGGAAUUCUUAGUGGCGAACGGGUGAGUAACGCGUAGGCAACCUGCCCUUUGGAUGGGGGACAACAUUCCGAAAGGAGUGCUAAUACCGAAUGUGACGAUUUUACCGCAUGGUUUAAUCGUGAAAGAUGGCCUCUACAUGUAAGCUAUCGCCAAAGGAUGGGCCCGCGUCUGAUUAGCUAGUUGGUGGGGUAACGGCUCACCAAGGCGACGAUCAGUAGCCGGUCUGAGAGGAUGAACGGCCACAUUGGGACUGAGACACGGCCCAGACUCCUACGGGAGGCAGCAGUGGGGAAUCUUCCGCAAUGGACGAAAGUCUGACGGAGCAAUGCCGCGUGAGUGAUGAAGGUCUUUGGAUUGUAAAACUCUGUUGUAUGGAAAAAAUGGCUAGGUUAGGAAAUGAACUUAGUUUGAUGGUACCAUACCAGAAAGCCCGGCUAACUACGUGCCAG
rnacentral:rRNA from 1 species